UACGAAGGGGGCUAGCGUUGCUCGGAAUCACUGGGCGUAAAGCGCACGUAGGCGGCUUUUUAAGUCAGGGGUGAAAUCCUGGAGCUCAACUCCAGAACUGCCUUUGAUACUGAGAGCUUGAGUCCGGGAGAGGUGAGUGGAACUGCGAGUGUAGAGGUGAAAUUCGUAGAUAUUCGCAAGAACACCAGUGGCGAAGGCGGCUCACUGGCCCGGUACUGACGCUGAGAUGCGAAAGCGUGGGGAGCAACAGGAGUU
rnacentral:rRNA from 1 species